AUUGAACGCUGGCGGCAUGCCUUACACAUGCAAGUCGAACGGUAACGCGGGGCAACCUGGCGACGAGUGGCGAACGGGUGAGUAAUGUAUCGGAACGUGCCCAGUUGUGGGGGAUAACUGCUCGAAAGAGCAGCUAAUACCGCAUACGACCUGAGGGUGAAAGCGGGGGAUCGCAAGACCUCGCGCAAUUGGAGCGGCCGAUAUCAGAUUAGGUAGUUGGUGGGGUAAAGGCCCACCAAGCCAACGAUCUGUAGCUGGUCUGAGAGGACGACCAGCCACACUGGGACUGAGACACGGCCCAGACUCCUACGGGAGGCAGCAGUGGGGAAUUUUGGACAAUGGACGCAAGUCUGAUCCAGCCAUGCCGCGUGCGGGAAGAAGGCCUUCGGGUUGUAAACCGCUUUUGUCAGGGAAGAAAAGGGCGACUUUAAUACAGUUGCCUCAUGACGGUACCUGAAGAAUAAGCACCGGCUAACUACGUGCCAGCAGCCGCCGCUG
rnacentral:rRNA from 1 species